rnacentral:rRNA from 1 species
CAGCAGCCGCGGUAAUACGAACCGUCCGAACGUUAUUCGGAAUUACUGGGCGUAAAGCGUGCGCAGGCGGUUUGUUAAGACAGAUGUGAAAUCCCCGGGCUCAACCUGGGAACUGCAUUUGUGACUGGCAAGCUAGAGUGUGGCAGAGGGGGGUGGAAUUCCGCGUGUAGCAGUGAAAUGCGUAGAUAUGCGGAGGAACACCGAUGGCGAAGGCAGCCCCCUGGGCCAACACUGACGCUCAUGCACGAAAGCGUGGGGAGCAAACAGGAUUAGAUACCCCAGUAGUCCCUGUCUCUUAUAA